CAUUUCCAUGACGUAGCAGAAACUAAUGAACAUCGCGGAGUUGAGUGGCAGCUGCGAGCGGUAAUGGAUAACUGUACUGGUCAUUCACACUUUUUAUUGAGCGCUUUCUUAUUGACAUGUUUACUUGGGCUAUCGCUCGGGACGGAACUGAGCUUUGUGACUUGCGGCUCGGUUGUAAAGCUGUUAAAUGUAAAGCACAAUGUCAGACUGCACUCUCACGACGUGCGCUACGGCUCCGGCAGCGGACAGCAGUCAGUAACAGGCGUGACCACGGUGGAGGACAGUAACAGCUACUGGAGUGUACGGGGCACCAGCGGGGCCCAGUGUCACCGGGGGACUCCUAUUAAGUGUGGUCAGACCAUCCGCCUCACACAUGUCAACACUGGACGCAACCUGCACAGCCACUACUUCUCCUCUCCGCUUUCCUCCAACCAGGAGGUGAGUGCGUUUGGUGAGGAGGGCGAGGGGGACCACCUGGAUGAGUGGACGGUGCAGUGUGGAGGGGCGGUGUGGCAGCGCGAGGAGGCUGUCCGCUUCCAGCACGCCUCCACCGAUGCGUUGCUAUCGAUUACAGGGGAGCAGUACGGCCGGCCCAUCCACGGGCAGAGGGAAGUGCACGCCAUGAUGGGUCCCAGCCAGCACAGCCUGUGGAGGGCCAUGGAGGGGGUUUAUAUGAAGCCCAGUGAAAGCCCACUAGGGAACAAGGACUUCAGCCAUCCUCUACACACAGAGUUCUGAUUCAAUCAGACUACAGCCAUCCUCUACACACACAGAGACUGACUACAGUCAUCCUCUACACACACACAGACUGACUACAGCCAUCCUCUACACACACAGAGACUGACUACAGCCAUCCUCUACACACACAGAGACUGACUACAGCCAUCCUCUACACACACAGACUGACUACAGCCAUCCUCUACGCACAGACUGACUACAGCCAUCCUCUACGCACAGACUGACUACAGCCAUCCUCUACACACAGACUGACUACAGCCAUCCUCUACACACAGACUGACUACAGCCAUCCUCUACGCACAGACUGACUACAGCCAUCCUCUACGCACGGACUGACUACAGCCAUCCUCUACGCACGGACUGACUACAGCCAUCCUCUACGCACGGACUGACUACAGCCAUCCUCUACGCACGGACUGACUACAGCCAUCCUCUACGCACGGACUGACUACAGCCAUCCUCUACACACAGACUGACUACAGCCAUCCUCUACGCACGGACUGACUACAGCCAUCCUCUACGCACGGACUGACUACAGCCAUCCUCUAUGCACGGACUGACUACAGCCAUCCUCUACACAAUAGUUUUGAUUAUCAAUCAACCUGACCUGGCUCUAUAUACCAUUUUCUUCCCUGUUGUCUCUCUCUCGCCCCCCCCGGACCCAGAGUUGUGAUCUACUCUGGCCCCUGGCCCCCUGUAUCCAACCCAACUUAGUUGUCUGCCUACCUGUCUCUUACUCAACUCCCUCUGUUUUGAGGACACUCUCACGCACAGUGGAUCUAAUCUAGGGGUUGCCAGGACAACUACAGAACUCUUUGACCAAUCCAAUCUCUGUCACCUGACCUCAUCAACAGAGACUAUUUGAUACACUAAACGAAUGCUGCUACAAGAUGUGGUAAAUACAAUUUUCUAUUUCCCCUCCACACACCUCCUCCCAACGUGGUACUUCAACAUAGACAUGUAAAGGUAUGUGAGACACCAGAACAAAAACAGCUAGUGAUUGUAUUGUUCUGUAUGUCAGAGGUGCUACAUAGCCAUUUUGCUAGUGCCUCUAAGAUGGUGCCCCGUGUCUGACUGGUUAUAGAAUGGGGUAAAUAUGACUUCAUUGGUCCCCUGAUAUGAUCAACAACAGACUACGGUCCAUAUCAAUUCUGCAGGUUUGUGUUGAUUGUGCACAGAAACGCUAAAUGGAGGCCAGUGUUUAUAAAAAAAAUAAAAAUUAAAAAAAAGAAAGUAUUGUGCAUCUACAAACGUACGAAAAACAACAGCCUUGUUACGGUGCCUUUUAUUACAUUAUCGAUUUCUCUCUACUAUUCAAACAAGUGUCGUAUCAAUAAAGAGGAGCAGUUUGAACCGUUUUAAUUAAAGAAACAUUUGAAUCCUAAGCACACUGCCUAUCCCCACAAUUCUCUUCUUUACCAUGAACAAGUAGGGUGUCUUUGUUUGACUUGAUUUCAGUUUAAGUCCAUACAGUAUUACAUAUCCCUUCCAUUGACUAAGCUGAAACAUGAAGAGUACCAUAAUUCUCUGUCCACUACAGUAUUAUGUCAGUCAGUGGUAGGAGUAGAUUCCAUUCAGGAAAUUCAGAACCUAAAUCAUAAUUCCAAUUGAGGAACAGAAAGGAACGUCCCCCGUUGAAAAUGCAAGGCACUUUUUGAGUCUAGAAUUUCUCAAUUCACCUUCUAGAACUAACAGAAUUGGAUUGGAAUUGACCCCAGCCACACUGUCAUUGUCCCAGGGGUUGACAGCUACAGCCUGUCUGGUCUGACGUGAGUCUUACAAAGUGUUUUCUAUCAGGUGUCUGUGAGUGUUCAUUUCAACACAAAGGUUUGUUUUCACAAGACUUGUACAUGAUUGUAAUAGAUACCUCAGAUUAAAUGGAUGUUUUGUGCUAA